UUUCCGCCUUCACGAAAUAAUCAAUUUCAUUUCAUUUCAUUUCCCAUCGAAACCAAACAAUCUUAACCACACCAUCGAAACCCUAUCCUCUCUACACCAUCGCAUCCCUCUCCUCUAUACACCAUGGUCUUGUAGCCAUGAGGAAGAUGGGUGUAAAGCCUUCUCCUCUCUACAUCUCGGCUUAAUCUAACCCUCUUAAAACCUAUCUAACUUGUGGCUGUUACGAAAGCCUAUCUCUCUCAAUACCCAAAUUUAGGUCGAAAUCUAACUACAGUGGAGCAAAAUUCCUCAUUCCAGGACCGAGUGAUUCCAAGUAGCAGUGCCCCUUUAAUAAGUUCAGAUUGGUUAGGCUGCGUGUUGGGGUUUAUCUGUGUAGCAGUUGGCGUUAAUUAGGUAGGCUUUUGCAAUUGAAGUUUGCAUUCGUGAAGGCAAACAAAUUAAGGGUUGAAAUUCACCUAAACAAUCGCGAGUGUAAUGUCAUUAGCUCAACAAAAAAGGGCUGGAGAUUUAGGAGUGUAGAUGAGAUAUCUCAGAGAUUUAUAUAGACUGUAAUAGUCCAUUUAGAAAUUUGAAUAAUAUCUUGGAAAAAGAAGGCUGCUGGAGACCUUUCACUUCCCAAUUAAACAAUCAAGAGCUGUUUUAUCGAAAAACUGAAUAUAUUAUACACAGCUGUAAAAUAUGCAUGUUUCUACAUUAAUGUCUGUAGGUAUAUUUAUGUAAA